UUUAGGAAGCGGGUUCGUGUGCUUUUAGGUAGUAUUUUUUACUUGUAUGUGCCAUUUUUGGUCUUAUCGUGCUUGGGAAUAACGUCUUUGGGUUCUCUACAUGUGGGUUGUUCUUGCUUGGUUUUAUCUUCUUGCUAUUCUUAGCAUUUACGGGUUUUCAUGAAAAUGCAUGUGCUUGUUUUGUAUGAGAUAGUUUUCUCUGUUGUUUGAGACUAUUUUUUGGGGUUCUGUUCUUGUACUGAGAUUUUCAAUUCCAUUUUUAGACUUGGAAAUCUUGGUAGGAGUUAUAGUGUUCUUAAGCAAUUUAUUCUGUUGUCUUUCCAGGCAUCGAAAACACAAAAUCACCUACUUAAUUAGCAGGUAUGAACCUUGCUUUGAUCUUUGUACACUUGGUAUUUUUUCAUGCCAGAGCUUUGAAAGCAUCUUUUAAUACAAAUAAGUUGUACAGUGUAAGGAGUUAAUUUGCGUGUUUGAGGGGGAAAAGUCAGUAGCUUAUGAUUAAAUAGCAUGCUUGAUUUCAGCAUAUCAAAUGGUUUGGUUUAUUGUUUAGUAGUUUAUGUCCUUUGAUAAUAUCUAAAUUCGAAUGAAUUAGUGCCAAACCAAUAUGCUUUGUUCUAGCUAGAAGUAAUUUAUGGAUCACACAGAGGAUGGUGACCAUCAACAAGAGGAACCGGUCUCAAAAGAGAAUGAAUCAGUCAAUAGGGACACGAACCUAUAUAUGCUAGUUUGGCUCAUGAAUAUAACUUCUGCAUGGUAAAGAACCAGAUAGAUGGGAAUUGUUCAAAUUAACACACCAAAAGGCAGGAACUCAAGAGCCAAUUGAUGCAGCAGGUGCAAAAGCAAUUGCGGAUUUUGAAGAGGCCGAACAAAAGAGACUAAGCAUGAAUGUUGACAUCACUGCUCCAGAAAUCCGUGAAGAAAUGUAUGCUGAGGUUCUUGGUAAGGAGAAGGGAAACCGAGUAAGGGGUCUUGGAGCUGGGGUUACUUGGGAUGAAGUUCCUGGAAUUCAUGUGGAAGAGCGAGAUGUUUCAAAGGAAGUGCAACUCUUGCGAGAGCGUUUAGAAGCACAAACCAAAGAGGCACAAGAGAGGGAAGCACGUCUGAUGGAUGAAUUACAAAGGAAAAUGGCCGAACAAACAAAAAAAUGGAAGAAAUGCUUGAAGUAAGGUGUGUAGGCAUGGCGGUCCAAAAAAUGGGAGAGAUGUUUAAACAAUGUGGAAUAUCGGUGGAUACAUAAGAAGAUAUGGAGCAAACAAUGUCUCAAUUUGCUCAGCACAUUUCUCAAAGGCCGUCAAAUGUGAUUUUUUCACCAAAUGAUGAUGUUUACCGCCCCACAUUGCCAUUUGAAUGUGCUGAUAUGCAGACAAAUUGAAGACAUUGCUUGAAGAUGGUGGUCGCUCGUUCAACUCUAUCGGAAUUAGUUUGAUAUUACAAUAAAGAUUUUCGUAUUAGUAUUUCCAUUUUCUAGUCAUUUGAGAUUUCGGACUAAUUUUAAUUCUUGUCUUUUGUUAGUUUAAAGUUUAAACUUUGUAGAUUUUAUUAUAAAUAUAUUUUCUUUAGAAUA